rnacentral:misc_RNA from 1 species
UCUCUCUCUCUCUCUCUCUCUCUCUACGCGUCUACGCCUCACUCGUUUUCUUCCGCUCGCUCUCCCUCACUGUGCACAUCUCAAGCUUGCAACCCCAACCCACCUUCCUUCGAUGGCGGUUGGAUUAUCCGCCGCGCCCGUCUUCAAUCCCUUCCGUUGUAUCCACGCUUCCAAUGUCUUCCCAAAGCCCAUACCCCCUUCACUCUUUUCAAUCCCUUCUGCAGCUCGAUAUCACAGUUUAUUCCAUGGUGGUCUAAGGAAAACCAACUUCGCUGUCUGUUUCGUCCUCGAAGACACAAAACAGAGUGUCCAGAUUGAGAAUCGCACACCGGAACAGUCCGAAGAAGUGAAUUACCAUAUCAUGACGCCCCGUGCGGCGGAGAGAUUGGCCAGGAAGAGAUCCGAGAGGUUCACUUACUUGGUUGCUGCUGUGAUGUCUAGUUUUGGGAUUACUUCCAUGGCUAUUAUGGCUUGUUACUACAGGUUUUAUUGGCAAAUGGAGGGUGGAGAGGUACCUUUGCUGGAAAUGUUCGGCACAUUUUCUCUAUCAGUGGGAGCUGCUGUAGGAAUGGAGUUUUGGGCAAGAUGGGCUCAUAGAGCUCUCUGGCAUGCUUCCUUGUGGCAUAUGCACGAGUCUCACCAUCGACCCAGAGAAUGUCCAUUUGAGCUCAACGAUGUGUUCGCAAUAAUAAACGCAGUCCCAGCCAUAGGCCUUCUUUCCUAUGGCUUCUUCAACAAAGGCCUAUUUCCUGGUCUUUGCUUUGGAGCUGGUCUUGGAAUUACGGUGUUUGGGAUGGCCUACAUGUUUGUCCACGAUGGUCUUGUUCACAAGAGAUUCCCAGUGGGUCCCAUUGC